GCUCCUGUGCAAGGCAAGCCAAUCAAAGUUAUAGUUGUCAACAUUGCACAUUCAGUCAACAGGCUGAAUGUAUGUUUGAACUCAACAUACCUGCAAUGCACAUUCAAGCUAAAGUAUAAUAUCUUCAUCACCAUCAAUAUGAUUAAUUAGUCUAAAUCCAACACAGAUCUAAUGAAGCUACAGAAAUCGUACAUGUGAACUAUUGAGUUCGUCCUCCCUGAAAAAUGUAAAAGUUGCACAACAUUUCAGGCCAAUCCUUCCAAUUAUUGUUGAGAUGUCAAAGUGAUGGAGCGGCCGACAACCCAACUUA